UACAGAGGUCCCAAGCGUUGUUCGGAUUCACUGGGCGUAAAGGGUGCGUAGGUGGCCAGGUAAGUUUGGUGUGAAAGCUCGGAGCUCAACUCCGAAAUGGCAUUGAAUACUAUCUGGCUGGAGGGUCGGAGGGGAGACUGGAAUUCUCGGUGUAGCAGUGAAAUGCGUAGAUAUCGAGAGGAACACCAGUGGCGAAGGCGAGUCUCUGGACGACACCUGACACUGAGGCACGAAAGCCAGGGGAG
rnacentral:rRNA from 1 species